rnacentral:lncRNA from 1 species
ACUCUGUCAUGAUGUCUCUUUUUAAUUCAUUGUCGUCUGGGACACACAUUCUGUCCUUGAAACGAAUCAAUCCGUCGGCAGAGAUCUGAAAUUCUGAGUUCACUCCCUGUUCUGCAUCCUUCUUGCGGUUUACUAGGGCGGGGUCGAUUGACUGGGCUUCCUUUAUUCUUUGGAUUAGCUCGGGUUGGACUGCUAGGUGGCUCAAACAUGUGGCCCUCUUCAGAUCUUGCAGUCGAACCUGCUGCGUAGCCCCAAUAGACCUGCAUUCCGAAACCAUCAGAUGGGCUAGGGUGCCUGCACUCUUCCUACUGAGGGCAUCGGCUACUACGUUGCCCUUACCUGGAUGGUAU